CCUACGGGGGGCUGCAGUAAGGAAUAUUGGACAAUGGGCGAGAGCCUGAUCCAGCCAUGCCGCGUGCAGGAUGACGGUCCUAUGGAUUGUAAACUGCUUUUGUAUGGGAAUAAACCCAGAUACGUGUAUCUGGCUGAAUGUACCAUAAGAAUAAGGAUCGGCUAACUCCGUGCCAGCAGCCGCGGUAAUACGGAGGAUCCAAGCGUUAUCCGGAUUUAUUGGGUUUAAAGGGUGCGUAGGCGGGACAGUAAGUCAGUGGUGAAAUCCUAUUGCUUAACAAUAGAAUUGCCAUUGAUACUGCUGACCUUGAGUACAAAUGAUGUGGGCGGAAUGUGCAGUGUAGCGGUGAAAUGCUUAGAUAUUGCACAGAACACCGAUAGCGAAGGCAGCUCACAAAAAUGUAACUGACGCUGAGGCACGAAAGUAUGGGGAUCAAACAGGAUUAGAUACCCCGGUAGUC
rnacentral:rRNA from 1 species